UGUGUGUGUGUGUGUGUGUGUAAGGUAAUGCACUUAAAGGAGAUGAUGACAUGCAGUAUAUUCACAUGGAUGUCAUUGUGACUCUAAUUAUCCAGUCCACUCAAGGUACUGCAUAGCUUUUAUGAUUAUAUCCACUCCAAGAAGGGCAAAUACAGGAUAAUAAGCACCAGAGCCGUUGGGUCCUCAGAGUGCCUGGCCGAGGCAAAAUGAACAAUGCCAGCAUGCAUCAGUUCAGCUCCAGUUUUCUUUGUACACAAGUGCAAUAAAAUUUGAUAUGUAUUGCAGAAUGUUAGGAGAUUUUUCAGUGGCUAAUGAUUAUGUAGUGAUUCCCUUUUAUCGUAGAGUUAACACAGCUCAUUUCUGGGUUUACAAUAACCUUGGUAUAGCUUUCAUUUUGUUUAACUGCACGUACACACACACACACACAUCAUUAUUUGUGAUGUGUGUGCUUUAUUUGUGAACCCCCAAAUACAGUAUUUCUUUUACUCAGAUUGUAAAAAAUAUUAUCAACUUUAGGAUAUAUUUUCUUCCCUUAUUUUUUUUUUAAUUUCCUGCUUUCUAGAACACUAAUAAAUAUUUAAAUGCAAAUACCACUAAAACCUCUCUCCAUCUUUGGUAUACCCUUCAAUAUUAUGUUUACAAUGUAGCUUCGUGUUUAGCAGUCCUUAGCCAAAUGAUAUAUGGUUUCCUUUCUGCAAUCUUUCUUCUUAAAUCAAAGUGUGAGCCUUUCCCAAAUGUUUUCCCUUCCUGAGCCCUUGUUCACUGUGUAUAAUGCGCACAUUGAGGGGCAGGGAUGAGCCACACAGGGAUGCUUUCUUACAUGGCCUCUGUUGCUCAUUAAACAGCAGUUCAUAAUGUGAAAUAUGCUCCUUGCUUUACACCUAGGGCUGCAGGCACCAGUGCUUUUCUGGUCACAAUUACCCUGUCUGUCUGUCUGUUUGCUUGCUUGUGCUGGCUCAGGGUUGAUUGCUUUGGGAAAGUUUCAACAAAUCAGUUCCAUAAUAAACUAUGUCCACUUGAGACCUGGAGCUGCAGAGGCUGCCCUGUCUGUCUUCACCUUGCAAGCCAACCAUGGUGGAUUUGGUUUUCCGCCUGCCCUUUCCCACAGACCUUGUCUUCCUUGAGGAAGUCUGUUCAAUAAUUCAGAUAGUUAACUUCCUUUGAGCAAGAAUGGGUCUGAAAUUGGUACCAGAGUUCAAAUAUCUGGUGACCUCUCCUGCUGUGGUUCUCAGGGAGGGACACUUGUCCAGAAGAUGCUUUUCCAGCUGCAGCCACUUGGCUAUGCUGCUGUGGACCUUGAAUCCUGCAAUGCUCCUUGGGUUUCCAUUUGAACCUGCCCAGAAGAUGGUAAGCACCCUGAGGGCACACACAAGCUUUGUAACUUAGCAUGGAAUCAGUCCUCUUCAUGCCAAGGUCUGCCCCACAUUGUGCCUCCUGUGAUCCUCCAGGAUGUAGCUGAUACUAAUGGACAGCAGGACAUACAAUUUACUUGUUUAAUAAACAACUUCACAGUUUCCACUGAGCAUAACUUUGACCAAAUUUAUGUUUCAUUGUGGCAUUGGCAACCAUGCUUUACAUAGGAAGAACCCCUGCAGACCACAUCAGACCUCCACGGAUGACGUGGCUUGCUUCUCCUUCAGUGCUGGUUUUGUCUGAGCACUCAGCAUUUUGUCCCAGAGAGGAGUACUGAUGAUGGACUGAAUCUGAACUCUUGCCCCUCAUCUCUCUGGAGUGCUGGCUAUCGUACUACAGCUGCAGCGAGAAGCUGCCUUGUGGUUUCCGACAUUGUGUUCUAAAGAUCGCUAAAAUGUCUCUUGCCACUACAGGCAGACUAGAAAAGCUAGUGACAGUUUUCUGAGAUGCAGUGGGUGCAUCCCUGGAUCCAUCAGUGCUUUUGAGCCACAUAAAAGGUAUUGAUCUCAUGCCGACCUCUGUGCAGGCCUCCCCUUCUCCCUCAGGGCUCUAUUGUGUGCGCACACCGUGGGGGAGGAAGAUGGAACUUUCUUUUUCAAAUAAUUUGUUUUAAACUGAAAGCAUUUUCAUUAAUUACUUCUUGAUUCUGUUGAUUAUGCCAAAAUGAGACAUUUCAGGGAGAUAUAGAUAAUUCUUUUCUUAGGUUAUCAUAAGUUAAAAUGCUGCUUGGUUUUAAACGGCACGAUUAUCCAGAAAUUUCUGAGUAUUCAUAAGCCUGGCUCUGAAGUUACAGACUGUAACUUUCCUGUGUCUUCUACAUUUAUGCUGUUGGAUGCUUAAUAAGCUUUUUUUU
rnacentral:lncRNA from 1 species